rnacentral:rRNA from 1 species
AACGCGAAGAACCUUACCAGGUCUUGACAUCCCGACGACCGCUCUAGAGAUAGAGUUUUUCUUCGGAACGUCGGUGACAGGUGGUGCAUGGUUGUCGUCAGCUCGUGUCGUGAGAUGUUGGGUUAAGUCCCGCAACGAGCGCAACCCCUAUAACUAGUUGCCAGCAUUGAGAUGGGGACUCUAGUUAGACUGCCGGUGACAAACCGGAGGAAGGUGGGGAUGACGUCAAAUCAUCAUGCCCCUUAUGACCUGGGCUACACACGUGCUACAAUGGAUGGUACAACGAGCAGCGAACUCGCGAGGGUAAGCGAAUCUCUAAAAGCCAUUCUCAGUUCGGAUUGUAGUCUGCAACUCGACUACAUGAAGCCGGAAUCGCUAGUAAUCGCGGAUCAGCACGCCGCGGUGAAUACGUUCCCGGGUCUUGUACACACCG